rnacentral:misc_RNA from 1 species
GAGGGUGAAGAAUUUGUUAGAAUGCUUGAUAAAAAAACAAUACCCCAGACUCGAAGCGUCCGUGGAUCAAAUUACUGUUUGAUGAAUGUCUUCGAAGAUCGAAUUCCAGGGAGAGCGAUAAUCAUCUCUGUUAUUGAUAAUUUAGUUAAAGGCGCUUCAGGUCAGGCAGUACAGAACCUUAAUUUGAUGAUGGGAUUACCGGAGAACCUGGGGCUCCUGUACCAGCCACUCUUUCCCUAAAAUUUGUAUUGAAGCUUUGUAAGU